rnacentral:rRNA from 1 species
CCUACGGGGGGCAGCAGUGGGGAAUAUUGCACAAUGGGGGAAACCCUGAUGCAGCCAUGCCGCGUGUGUGAAGAAGGCCUUCGGGUUGUAAAGCACUUUCAGCGAGGAGGAAAGGUUAGUAGUUAAUACCUGCUAGCUGUGACGUUACUCGCAGAAGAAGCACCGGCUAACUCCGUGCCAGCAGCCGCGGUAAUACGGAGGGUGCGAGCGUUAAUCGGAAUUACUGGGCGUAAAGCGUGCGCAGGCGGUUUGUUAAGCGAGAUGUGAAAGCCCCGGGCUCAACCUGGGAACCGCAUUUCGAACUGGCAAACUAGAGUCUUGUAGAGGGGGGUAGAAUUCCAGGUGUAGCGGUGAAAUGCGUAGAGAUCUGGAGGAAUACCGGUGGCGAAGGCGGCCCCCUGGACAAAGACUGACGCUCAGGCACGAAAGCGUGGGGAGCAAACAGGAUUAGAUACCCUUGUAGUC